rnacentral:rRNA from 1 species
ACGCUCAGUAACACGUAGAUAAUCUGCCCUCAGGUCGAAAAUACCGUCGGGAAACUGACUAUAAUAUUCGAUACAAGAUGUUUUCUGGAAUGAGAUAUCUUUGAAACUCGCGCCUGAGAAUGAGUCUGCGGCUGAUUAGGUUGUUGGCGGGGUAAUGGCCCACCAAGCCGUUGAUCAGUAAGGGCCCUUAACGGGGAAACCCUGAGAAUGAGUCUGAGACACUACUCAUAGCCCUACGGGGUGCAGCAGUUAGGGAUUUUUUGCAAUGCGCGAAAGCGUGACAGAGCGAGCCAGAGUGAUAUUCCCUUAGGGAACAUCUUUUGCCAGCUGUAGAAAGGCUGGCGAAUAAGGACUGGGCAAGACCGGUGCCAGCCGCCGCGGUAAUCCCGGCAGUCCAAGUCGCAGCCAACUUUAUUAGGUCUAAAACAUCCGUAGCUUGCUUUGAAAGUCUUUUGUGGAAUUCUGUCUCUUAAGGUCAGAGAUUGCAAUAGAUACUGCAGAGCUAGAGACCGGUGGGCGUAAGAAGUACAUUUGAGGUAGUGGUAAAAUACGUUAAUCUCAAGUGGACUAACAGUCGCGAAGGCGUCUUACGAUGACGGUUCUGACAGUGAGGGAUGAAGGCUAGGGGCGCAAAAUGGAUUAGAUACCCAUGUAGUCCUAGCAGUAAACACUGCUCACUAAACAUUAGCACCUCCUCGAGAGGUGUUAGUGCUGUAGCGAAGGCGAAGAGUGAGCUACCUGGGAAGUAUAGCCGCAAGGCCGAAACUUAAAGGAAUUGGCGGGGGAGCAC